rnacentral:rRNA from 1 species
UACGGGGGGAGCAAGCGUUGUUCGGAUUUACUGGGCAUAAAGGGCGCGUAGGCGGCCACCGCAAGUCGACUGUGAAAUCUCCGGGCUUAACCCGGAAAGGUCAGCCGAUACUGCGGGGCUAGAGUGCAGAAGGGGCAACUGGAAUUCUCGGUGUAGCGGUGAAAUGCGUAGAUAUCGAGAGGAACACCUGCGGCGAAGGCGGGUUGCUGGGCUGACACUGACACUGAGGAGCGAAAGCUGGGGGAGCGAACGGG